AGGCAAGAUCAGGCCAUAUAGUAAGCUUGACUUUUUACCAUUUUAGAACAGAUCUUAACUCAGAUUAUCUAUUGCUACUUUGUGCAACAAAGCAGAUUUGGGUGACAGAGUCUAAAUGGCCCCCCAAACCUAAAAUAUUUAUUAUCUGGUCCUAAAAUAUUUAUUAUCUGGCCCCCCAAACCUAAAAUAUUUAUAGAAAAAGUGGGCUGAAUCCUAACCUAAGAAAUAAUCCUCUGGUGGACCUAGUGGAUGAUAUUCCAAGAAAGAUAUUGAAAAAACAUGUUGCCAUCCUUUUAUUUCCAAAUUUGCAUAACUGUUCAACAUGGCCCAUCUUGUUUUUAAUCUGUAUGCUCACAAUUCCUCCUCCUCAAUGUUUGAAGCUAUUCUCAGCUAUUUAUAGAUGGUAUUGUAAUGUAUAUUUGAGUCUAUAUGUGUUGUAUUUUAAGGCAUAUAAUACUAGUUAUGAUAGCACAUAUAUUUUUCUUAAGUAUGAAAACAAAGACACUUAAUUUUCUUUCAAAUUCUAUUGUGCAAUUGGUAGAUUGGCCAAAUGUUCCCUGACUUAAUAUCUAGAGCUUCCACGAAUUAGAAAUUUCACUUUUUCACCUAGGACAGUGAGAGCAGAGAUUUCAUAGUUGUCCAGAAUAUCCUCCCAACUUUUUUUCCUCACUGACCGAACUCAAAUGGGAAGUAAUGUCUAAUUCAGAACUGAUAAGACUACUAUUUCAGAUUCCACAGUUCUUUAAUCAGAGAUGACAGGUCACUACAGAAUGUGAAAUGACUUGGCUUGGAACAUUGUUCUGUUACUUUUCUUCUAUCCUCAUGUCAACAAUUUCCCCAACCCCACUCCCACCUCACAACAGUGCUUUUUGAAUGUGCUUAUCUACUUUGAUUUUUUUGUGACUAGAUUUCUAAAUUAAAUUUUUUUUUUUUUGGUCUUUUUGCCUUUUCUGGGGCCACUCCCAUGGCAUAUGGAGGUUCCCAGGCUAGGGGUCUAAUUGGAGCUACAGCUGCCGGCCUACGCCAGAGCCACAGCAACGCGGGAUCCGAGCUGCGUCUGUGACCUACACCACAGUUCAUGGCAACGCUGGAUCCUUAACCCACUGACUGAGGCCAGGGAUGGAACCUGCAACCUCAUGUUCCUAGUCAGAUUCGUUAACCACUAAGCCACGACGGGAACUCCUCUAAAUUAAAAUUUUUAAAGAGGGUAAAAGGGAAAGCUCAUUGAGAAGAGUGCUUUCCUCCAGGUCUGCAUUCACACUUUCCAAAGAUCUGUUCAUGGUCAUCUUGGGCCAGUAAACUGGUCAGACCUGGUCCCUGCAAGGUAAUCAAGGUCACCCUGCCUCCAUCUCAUGCUCAGUCACAAUCUGAAUCUCUUGCAGGUAGCCUAAGUGGAAUCAAUAAAGCAAAGGGGCUGGCUAGAAAAAUCUCAUCAGAAGUGAAAAACACGAGGCCAGAAAUGUAGGGAGAUGUACUAAGAGGGUGGUAGUCUUUUCAGGGCUCUUUAGAAAGCAAUUAAAAAGGCAGACUAACGGCUAGAAAUAUAUAACUCACUCUUUAGUCUGUCAUUUAAUUGAAGGAAAAGACUGGAAUGGCAAAAAGUUUGAAGUAUUUUAUAGAUGACUUUUUUUUUUUUUUCUUUUAUGGCUACACCUGCAGCAUAUGGAAGUUCCCAGUCUAGGGGUACAAUCAGAGGUAUAGCUGAAGCCUACACUACAACCACAACACUGGAUCUGAGCCACGUUUGUGAACUAUGCUGCAGCUUGCAGCAACACUGGAUCCUUAACCCACUGAGUGAUGCCAGGGGUCAGACUGUAUCCUCACAGAGAAUAUGUUGGGUCCUUAACCCACUGAGCCACAAUGGGAACUCCUAGGUGAUUUUUAAAUGAGGAUGAGAAUUUUUAAAUUUUUCAUACAGUUUCAAAAUUUUGUUUUCCCUUAACUAUAAGCUAACGCUCUCAAGCAACAGUCUUGGGAGCCAAAGAAUCACCCGAAUCUCCCAGGGGUUAUAAAUGGGACAACAUGGGAUGAUCUUAUCAUAGUGAGGGGUUAAAGACCUUUGUUUUCUGUUCUAGACUCAGGUCCCUAAUAGUUACAAUUUUGCUGUCUAAUGAUCAUUAUAAUCUGCAUGAAGAAGAAAAAGCACAGAUGUGAAGGAGAACUCAGGAUUCCUAAGAUUCCAUGACAGCCAUCAGUUAGUCUCUGCAUUAUUGGUAUGUUUGUUUCCUCCAUUUCUCUCACUAUACCAGAUCCCUAAAGGAGGAUUACUCCCCAAGUUAGGAAUGUAGUUUCUCAAUGCCAUUUUCUUUUUAAUUUAUAUUUUUAACCACUUUAUCCUCAAUCCUCUAGAACCAGGUUGUAUUUUAUUUCAGUUAUCUACUAUAUAAUAAACUACCCAAAUCUUAGUGGCUUGAAACCAAAACCAUUUUAUUUGCUCAUGUUUUUAUAGGUCAGGGAUUCAAGUAUAGUUCCACUUUGCUCUGCAAUGUCUGUGACCUCAAAGCUGGAAUGGCUUGAACAGCUGAGAUCUGGCCGGGUAUCUCUCUUCUUACAGUAUCACUGGAGUGGCAUCAAAUGGCAUUUGAGGAUCAAAGAUGGCCUUACUCCUAAUUUGCAGAGACUUAGGUACUCUCCCUGGUGGCCCCAUCACUCAGUAAUCUAGUCUGACAUUUGCAGGGUGGCUGGCUUCCAAUAGGGAAAGCAGGUGCUAUAGACCUCUAGAGACUAGGCUUGGAAUUCUUAGAAUGUCAUUUCCGCAUUCUAUUCAUCAAUGCCAGUUAUGGGCCAGACCAAUUCAAGGAAUGGGGAAACAAAUACCACCUCUUGAUGAGAAAAGGAGCAUUUGCAAACAGAUAUAAAAGGUGUAGUUGGCAGCCAUCUUUGGAGACAAUCUACUGCAGCUUUCAGAAGGUAACCGGAUACUCUAAGCACUCUUCAUGGGAGAAUGCCAGAAGAAUCCUCCAUCUUCCACAGAGAAAAAAAAUGUGUCCAUUCACAGGUAUCUAAUCCAAAGAGUAACUCUUUUCAUGAGCUUCUACUGUUGAGUAGGGAAGAAAAGGCAUCAUAAGCAUUAGGGUAAAAGUAAUGGUGAAAAAAAGCUAGGGAGAUUUUGCAGUAAAAUCAUUCUUUUUUUUUUUUUUUUCCUGUAGGGCUGCAUCCAUGGCAUAUGGAGGUUCCCAGGCUAGGGGUCGAAUCAGAGCUGUAGCCACUGGCCUAAACCACAACCACAGCAACUCCAGAUCUGAGCCAUGUCUGCAACCUACACCACAACUCACAGCAAUGCCAGAUCCUUAAUCUGCUGAGUGAAGCCAAGUAUCAAACCUGCAUCCUCAUGGAUGCUAGUCAGAUUUGUUUCCGCUGAGCCACAAUGAGAACUCCAAUAAAAUCAUUCUAAGGUGAGUAUUUUUUAUCUAGUCUGCUCUUCUGAACUAAGCUUACUUUUAGCUUUCUUCUGUGAAUCAAUACUUUGUUUUUUUAACAUUGUGUAGAUAUUUUCAACAUUUCUUUAACUUACUGGACUCUAGAACUAAGCAGAAUUAGUAUUUUUUGAUGUCUUAUCCUUCCUUUAAAGCUAACUUUUUUUCUGUAAGAUGGUAAUUAUUUUACUAACACUUUAUAAUUACUUAAAAAACAAAGGGGAGUCUUGUGUCUUCCUGUUUUAAGCAAGGAUGUUAGUCAAUAGCCUUCUCACUUAAGAUUACCUCUUGGGAUAAAGAAGUCAAUUCACCAGCAAUAUAUAACACUCAUAAAUAUUUAUGCACCCAACAUAAGAGCACCUAAACGUACAAAGCAAAUAUUAACAUACCUAAGGGGAGAAUAGACAGCAAUACAGUAACAGUAGAAGACUUAAAAAACCCUCUUAUAUCAAUGGAUAGAUCACUCAGAGAAAAAUCAAUGAAGAAACACUGGCUUUAAAUGACACAUUAGACUAGAUGGGCUUAACAGACAUACACAAAACAUCCCAUCCAAGAGCAAUAAAACAUAAUUCUUCUCAAGUGUUCAUGGAACAUUCUCCAGAAUAGGUCAUGUGUUAGACCACAAAACAGUCUUAACAAAUUUAAGAAGACUGAAAUCAUAUCAGGCAUAUUUUCUGAUCACAAUGCUGUAAAAGUAGAAUCAAUUACAAGAAGAAAUUUGGAAAAUUCACACAUAUGUGGCAAUUAAGCUACUUAACAAAUCAGUGGGUCAGUGAAGAAAUCAAAAUACCAUAAGACAAAUGAAAAUGGAAAUACAACAUAUGAAAACCAAUCCCGUUUACAAUUGCAUCAAAAAGAAUACAAUGCCUAGGAAUAAAUUUAACCAAGCAGCUGAAAGACCUGUAUACUGAAAACUAUAAGAUACUGCUGAAAGAAACUGAAGGCACAAAUAAAUGGAAAGAUAUACUAUGUUAAUGGAUUAGAAAAAUUGAUACUGUUUAAAUGUCAAUACUACCUAAAACAAUCUACAGAUUCAGUGCAAUCUCUCUAAAAAUUCUGAUGGCAUUUUUCAUAGAAAUAGAACAAAGAAUCCUAAAAUUUGUAUGGAACCACACAAAGCCAAAGCCAUACUGAUAAAGAAUAAGAGAGCUUUAAGCAUCAAGUUCCCUUAUUUCAAAGUCUACUGCAAAGUUAUAAUAAUCAAAACAGUAUGGUAUUGGCAGGAAAACAGACACAUAGCUCAGUGGAACAGAUAUAAAUAAACUCAUACAUUUAUGGUCAAUUAAUUUACAAUAGAGGAGCCAAGAAUAUACAGUGGGGAAAGGACACUCUCUUCAAUAAAUGAUGCUAAGAAAAUGGGACAGCCACAUGCAGAAGAAUGAAACUGGACCACUACAUAGACCAUAAACAAAGGCUUGGAUGUAAGACCUGAACCAUAAGAAUCCUCAAAGCAACAUAGGUAGUAAGCUUCUUGACAUUGGUCUUGGCAAAGAUUUUUGGGUUCAACACCAAAGGAAAAAUAAAAAAGAAGGACUACAUCAAACCAAAAGCUUCUGCACAGCAAAGGAAACCAUCAACAAAAUGAAAAAGCAACCUACUGAAUGGGAAAAAAUAUCUGCAAAUCACAGACAUAUAUCUGAUAAGUUGUUAAUAUAAAAAUAUAUAAAGAACUUAUACAAGUCAAAAAAAAUCAGUUAUAAAGUGGGCAGAGUGGAGUUCUGCUGUGGCUCAGCGGUAACGAGCCUUACCAGUAUCCAUGAGGAUAAGGGUUCAAUCCCUGGCCUCCCUCAGUGGGUUAAGGAUCCAGUGUUGCCGUGAGCUGAGCUAUAGGUUGCAGACGUGGUUCAGAUCCUGUCUUGCUGUGGCAUAGGCUGGUGGCUACAGCUCCAAUUCAGCCCCUAGUCUGGGAACUUCCAAAUGCCAUGGAUGUGGCCCUAAAAAUUUUAG
rnacentral:lncRNA from 1 species